CCUACGGGUGGCAGCAGUCGAGAAUCAUUCACAAUGGGGGAAACCCUGAUGGUGCGACGCCGCGUGGGGGAAUGAAGGUCUUCGGAUUGUAAACCCCUGUCAUGUGGGAGCAAAUUAAAAAGAUAGUACCACAAGAGGAAGAGACGGCUAACUCUGUGCCAGAAGCCGCGGUAAUACAGAGGUCUCAAGCGUUGUUCGGAAUCACUGGGCGUAAAGGGUGCGGAGGCUGUUUCGUAAGUCGUGUGUGAAAGGCGCGGGCUCAACCCGCGGACGGCACAUGAUACUGCGAGACUAGAGUAAUGGAGGGGGAACCGGAAUGCUCGGUGUAGCAGUGAAAUGCGUAGAUAUCGAGAGGAACACUCGUGGCGAAGGCGGGUUCCUGGACAUUAACUGACGCUGAGGCACGAAGGCCAGGGGAGCGAAAGGGAUUAGAUACCCUAGUAGUC
rnacentral:rRNA from 1 species